CGGAGGGGGUUAGCGUUGUUCGGAAUUACUGGGCGUAAAGCGCACGUAGGCGGAUCAAUAAGUUAGAGGUGAAAUCCCAGGGCUCAACCCUGGAACUGCCUUUAAUACUGUUGGUCUAGAGUUCGAGAGAGGUAAGUGGAAUUCCGAGUGUAGAGGUGAAAUUCGUAGAUAUUCGGAGGAACACCAGUGGCGAAGGCGGCUUACUGGCUCGAUACUGACGCUGAGGUGCGAAAGUGUGGGGAGCAAACAGGAUUAGAUACCCUGGUAGUCCACACCGUAAACGAUGAAUGCCAGACGUCAGGGGGCUUGCCCUUUGGUGUCACACCUAACGGAUUAAGCAUUCCGCCUGGGGAGUACGGUCGCAAGAUUA
rnacentral:rRNA from 1 species